rnacentral:rRNA from 1 species
AGAGUUUGAUUAUGGCUCAGAAUNNNCGCUGGCGGCGCGCCUAACACAUGCAAGUCGAACGAGAAAGGGGAGCAAUCUCCGAGUAAAGUGGCGCACGGGUGAGUAACACGUGGGUAAUCUGCCCUUUGGUGGGGAAUAACCCUGGGAAACCGGGGCUAAUACCGCAUGAAUCCGAGAGGAUAAAGCCGAAAGGCGCCGAAGGAGGAGCCCGCGGCCGAUUAGCUAGUUGGUAGGGUAAAAGCCUACCAAGGCGACGAUCGGUAGCCGGCCUGAGAGGGCACUCGGCCACACUGGCACUGAGACACGGGCCAGACUCCUACGGGAGGCAGCAGUGGGGAAUCUUGCACAAUGGGGGAAACCCUGAUGCAGCGACGCCGCGUGAGCGAUGAAGCCCUUCGGGGUGUAAAGCUCUUUCGGCAGGAACGAUAAUGACGGUACCUGCGGAAGAAGCUGCGGCUAACUACGUGCCAGCAGCCGCGGUAAUACGUAGGCAGCAAGCGUUGUUCGGAGUUACUGGGCGUAAAGGGUGUGUAGGCGGCUUCGUAAGUUCGGUGUGAAAUCUCCCGGCUUAACUGGGAGGGUGCGCCGAAAACUGGGGAGCUGGAGCGCAGGAGAGGAAAGCAGAAUUCCUGGUGUAGCGGUGAAAUGCGUAGAUAUCAGGAGGAAUACCGGNNGUNNNGACGGC